rnacentral:rRNA from 1 species
ACGGGGGGGGCAAGCGUUGUUCGGAAUUACUGGGCGUAAAGGGCUCGUAGGCGGCCAACUAAGUCAGACGUGAAAUCCCCCGGCUUAACCUGGGAACUGCGUCUGAUACUGGACGGCUCGAGUUUGGGAGAGGGAUGCAGAAUUCCAGGUGUAGCGGUGAAAUGCGUAGAUAUCUGGAGGAACACCGGUGGCGAAGGCGGCAUCCUGGACCGGUAUUGACGCUGAUGCGCGAAAGCCAGGGGAGCAAACGGGA